CGCCGCCGCUGUCGCCGCCGCCGCCACAUCCCGGGCCGGGCGGGCGGCGGCGCCGAGGCCUCCGGGCGGGCGGGCCUCCAGCGCUCCCCGGACGCCGGGACCCCGCGCGCCUUGCCCCCAGGCCCGCAAGGCCCGAGCCGAGCUUCGCCCCUGGGGCCGCGGAAGGGCCCGAGGGCCGCGACAGGCUCCGGCUCCACAGAGGAGACAGGAGGAGCCAGGAACCUCCAAGGCAAAGCAGAUACUGCAAGGAGAUGUGGACCAGGCCUAAGAAGGAGGAAGCACUGAAUGGCUGACGUUUGACAACAUGCACCACCAGUGGCUUCUGUUGGCCACAUGCUUUUGGGUGAUUUUCAUGUUCAUGGUGGCCAGCAAGUUCAUCACACUGACCUUUAAGGACCCUGAUGCCUACAGCGCCAAGCAGGAGUUUCUGUUCCUGACCGCCGCGCCCGACGCGGGGAGGUCGCUGAGAGAGACGCACUUCCCUGAGGAGCUGAAGCUGACCGGGAAUAUGCUGCCGGGAGGGCGGCUCGUUCAACCCUUGGUCUAUAUGCAACGCCUGGAGCUCGUCAGAAACGUGUGCAGGGAGGACACCUUGAGGAACCUCUCACACACCGCCGUCUCCAAGUUUGUCCUCGACCGGAUAUUUGUCUGUGACAAGCACGAGAUUCUCUUCUGCCAGACGCCCAAAGUGGGCAACACCCAGUGGAAGAAAGUGCUGAUCGUGCUGAACGGAGCCUUUCCUUCCAUCGAAGAGAUCCCUGAAAGCGUGGUGCACGACCACGAGAAGAACGGCCUCCCGCGUCUCUCUUCCUUCAGCGAUGCAGAAAUUCAGAAGCGCUUGAAGACAUACUUCAAGUUUUUUAUCGUAAGAGAUCCCUUCGAGAGACUGAUUUCUGCGUUUAAGGAUAAGUUUGUUCACAACCCCCGCUUUGAGCCUUGGUACAGGCACGAGAUUGCCCCUGGCAUCAUCAGGAAGUACAGGAGGAACCGAACGGAGACCAGGGGCAUCCAGUUUGAGGACUUUGUGCGCUACCUGGGUGAUCCGAACCAUAGGUGGCUGGACCUUCAGUUUGGGGACCACAUCAUCCACUGGGUGACAUACGUGGAACUGUGCGCACCCUGCGAGAUCAAGUACAGCAUCAUCGGUCACCACGAGACCCUGGAGGACGACGCCCCAUACAUCUUGAAAGAGGCUGGCAUAGACCACCUGGUGUCUUACCCCACCAUCCCCCCGGGCAUCACCGCGUAUAACAGAACCAAAGUCGAGCACUACUUUCUGGGUAUCAGCAAACGAGACAUCCGGCGCCUCUAUGCACGUUUUGAAGGGGACUUUAAACUCUUUGGGUAUCAGAAGCCAGAUUUUUUGCUAAACUAAUGUGUAGGACUGUGAGUUCAAGUAUCUUUGUUAGACCAGAGGCUAACCGGGUGGAGAUCUGGGCACAGAAAUGACACUUUGCUCUGUCACGUUCCCCCUGAACACUCCUCAGUUCCCAUGGACCUGGGUGUGCCUUGGCCAGUGAAGCUGGACCCUGACCAUUAUGACCUAGUUUGGACAGAAGGUGCACGGCGGGCCCUGCCUCCCUCCUCCACCCCAGCCCCAGUGCCAUGGGGCCUUUGCUCUCCUCAGCGGGGAAGGACACUAAACAUUUGCAGUUGAACAGACGGGAGGAAAAAUCAUACAGCCUCGAGUCACCUCCCUCGGUGGUCAGACACCUGCAGCUCCCGCAGACGGUGGGGCGGUCAUGCCUGUCCCCAGGGGAUUGUAGACAUGGCGCCCAGCGCUUUCAGGAGAGAUGGAAGAGCCAGUGGUCUGCACACAUCCCAGGGGCCGAGAUAGGGUCAAAUCUGAGUAAUUACACCUCUGGGUUUCAUCUUGGCGCCACUGUAGUCACAGAGGCAGACCCUUCUUUCCACGACUGUUCUGUUCCUGAGAAGUUCAGGGAUGACUCGAGGGCACUCUCCGGGAGUCCAUCUAUUCAGAAUACAUGCCUGUGUGCUGCUGGGCCACAUUUCCAGACCUUUGCCUGCCAAGUGAUGAUCUCAUUCAGCCCAAGAGAUCCAAUUUUGCAAAGUGAGGGGAGUGUACACAUUUCCCACCUGAGAAAAGGAACGUCUCUGGGGACCUUAAAGGGAGCCUGGGAAGAGGCAGAGCUGGCCGGGUGCUGGAGCUCGGGCUGCCCUGGGCUUAGGCACGUCCACCCUGGUGACUGUCUGCCUCUUGUCUCUGAUGGUCCCGUGUGGAUGGGCACGGGGAGGGGGGUCUCCACCUGCCUCUCCCAAGGCCAGGCCCUCCUGGGGGCCAGCGGCAAACACGGGCAACAUGCCAGUAUUGCCCAGUCAGUGCAGCUUACACAUUUCAGUCUCCUUUCGUCUCAGCAAAAUGCGCACCACUGGACCCAUUUCUGAUGAUGCUGUCAUCCUGGACUGUAAGUUGGGUAAUCAAGUUCACCAGCAAUAAACUCCUGGGCCGAGGCAGCCGCAGUAACGCACCUUCCAGGCGCUGAGGAGCAGGCCACGGCUACCAUUUCAGGUGCCGUCCGACAGCGAGGUCCCUCAAGUUUAUUAGCAGUCAUCUUGAAGCAAGCUGUCUAAAACAAGACUUGGACAGCAACAUCACAUCCAUCAUCUGUAUUGUCCUCAAAACUGAGUUGACCUGAGAAUCAUGAGAUGAGUGAAUACGGAGAUUCUCAGCUGAGAUCAACUUACCUGUAGCAGAAACCACCAGAGCCGUGGACGGUAGGAUCACUUACGUGGUAAUCCUGACAAAUUGCUGGAGGUUGAGUGUGAGCUACCAGGCAUUCUUAUGAUGAAGAGUCAAGAAAAAUCUCCUCCUGGCUCUGCAGAUAGAGGAGAAAGCACAUGCUGUCGAUGAAUUACAGAGGCAAGUACAGUUUCUAGGAAAAGCGGAGCCUCCCCACACCUCCGACGUUUAUGUCAAGGGGGAUAAACUAGGCCCUCAUUCUCCUGAAAAGCCCUUGAGGGCUUGCUGUGAUUGCCAACAGGAUAGUGGAUUAAAUAAACCUAACUCCUGCUCCCCCUGCGAGGAAGCCUUAGGUCAGUUACUUGUUACAGGAAAGAAUGUUUUAAAUGGAUCGAUCUCCUAUCUCCUGCUCUCCUUCACCCCCUACCACUCACUCCCCUCCUCCCACCCAUGACCGAGUGACCCUCAAGGGCAGGGACUGUUUCCAUUUAUUCCCGUAGCUCCUGAGCCUGAACAGAUACUUAAUGAAUGCUCCCUUGACUUAGCACAGUCGUUCUGAGCAUGGUGUUUUUCUACAGGAACGCUCGCUGACCCCCUUGGCUACCCACCUGUUGCACGCCUGGCACCGCUGCAGCAGCGUCGGACCUCCCUUCUCCCCAGCUGCCAGCAUUCACUGGGAGUCAGUCAUGAACUAAGCUGCUUCCACGCCACCCCAUCCUAAAGACUCAUGAACGCCUUUUCUCCUUCCCACCCUCCCCAUCCCAUAACUGGAGGACAGGGAUGCUAAAGAAGGAACGUCUGCACUCACAAGAAAGCUGCCAAUUUCUCCAUGCAUGUUCUUCUCAGCUAUUGGUUACCAUUUUCCUUAGGAAAAGAACAAUAACAAUUUGCCCUUCUUUCAUCUCUUAAAAUAACUUGAGUGUCAGAUAUACGUUAGAGCCUUCUGUACAUGAUAGCAAAACUGAUCUGUGAACAUUUGACAGUUCAAUUAGGAUCAGGCGACAGCACUUUGGAAAUAAGAAUAUGAGAAUCUCAUCUUGAGCCAGGCAGAUUGGCCGCUCCACCUUAGGGUCCGGAGGCCCAGAUGAGCUCCUGCAGGUCCAGAGGUUUAAGGAGGAGAGAUAGAUACACCUCUGAGCUGAACAGGAGGAGCUGGGCACAAACAGGAAGAAGAAAGGAAGUAGGGCCCCCUGUUCCCACCCUUGUUCCUGGUAAUGAGCUCCAGCUGCCUCACAUUAAAGUAGUGCUUUGUGGCUGGUGAGGAUACCCCUUAACCAUUGCUCAAGGCCUUCACAGAAAACCCUGAAAAUCCAGGUGCUGAAGAAGAGUAUUCCUUUUACCUUCCUCCUACACCCUUGAUACAAGAAAUAGAUUUGAACCCUUUGGUUGUCUUAGGUAGAUACCUCAGCAUAGAAUUUCUGGGCCACAGAUAUUUUUUAAUGAAAAGGAAAAAACCAAUGUUACGACUUUAGGGAAGUUUCUAAAAGGCAAUAAAACUAGAACCAACCUCCACGUUACAUAGAGAAUAUAAGUAAAGAGUUGGCCAUAAACAGAUUACACUGCAAAAUUAUUUGGAAACUAGAAGGAUGGUAAUAAAAAUAGCAGCUGUAUAUUCUCUAGUCUUCAGUUGGUUAGAUAUUAGGUAAUUAUGACCAAAAGCUGUAGUCUUCUGAGCCAGGGCCCACCCCAUAAAAAGGUGUGGUUACCCUGCCCAGGCCAGGAGGGCUGGGAAACCCCAGGACAUCAGGGUUUUUUCCUGGGAAGAAAGAACUGACAACCUGUUCCCUUCUCCCCCAGCAUAUCUGCAUGAAACCUCAUGAUUCAUUUUAAUUUACUUUCUGAUGUUUCACAAUUUUGGCAUUCCCGUUGAUGGUAUCUCUCACUGAUCUUAAAAAUAGCCAAAUAUGAAAACACAUAAAAUUUUGGAUAAAUCGAAAGUGCUUUCUGAGGAGGGAAGUGUGGACGACCUCUGACCUGAACUUCCAAGCGUAAGAAGAUGGACAGGAUAGCAGAAGUGAGAAUACCCAGUUUACAGUUGGGAACAUCAAAGGUGCACAAGUUAAGGGGGUCCUUGGGCCACUGCUGACUCAUAAGCCAUCAGGUUGUAGCAGUUUCUCUGCCAGCUUUGUUCACCAGUUUCCUCCAGGGGGCGCUGUCUCCUAUUCUAGUGCCCGCUAAACCCAGGUUCCCUUUGUGUACACAGGGAAGCUCACCAAGGUGGUCUUAGAAGCUGCAAUGAAGGUGGUUACAAAACAGUACUCUUCUGAAAUUAGGCCCAGGAUGUACAUGGUCAGAUUUGCUCUGCUGAAGAGCAGGUAGAGGAUAGGAAAUCAAACUAAGUCUACGGAGAGGUUGCCAAAAAUCUCUGAGCCAGGGAAAUGGAAAUUUUGUCUAUUUUAUUAAAUCAUAAGCUCUAAAAACAAACGGACAGCUUCCCUUCCAGGAGAUAAUUCUUAGUAAAAGACUGGAACCCCUUGCUUAGGUCUUUGUAUGAUGUCACCCAGUUUUACUCUUGCUGGAACUUGCCUCAGUGAUAGUUGGAGCGAAUCCAGCCAACUCUGUAUGCCUUGUUCUGAGGGGAAUGGGGACCUGCUGUGGGCCCAGGGCGGCUGUUGUGUUUGCCAAGGGCUGUCCUCACCAGCAACUGUCAGCCUGAAAACACUCCUUGGGACGUUGGUGGGAGUUUCAGAAAAAGAAAUCUUCUCUAUUCCUGUCCAGCAUCAACAAAACCCAGGUGAAUAGCGUUCAUUAGCAAGUUUUCUAUUCCACAACUGCUCAAACUUGCAGGUAAGUUAAUUAUUCUACAGAAAGGUUUUCCUGCUUAAUAUUCAGAAAAUAUAGUAAAAUCAAGAUAUGCA